AUCGAACGCUGGCGGCAGGCCUAACACAUGCAAGUCGAGCGGAGCGGCGGACGGGUGAGUAAUGCCCAGGAAUCUGCCUGGUAGUGGGGGAUAACGUCCGUAAACGGGCGCUAAUACUGCAUACUUUCAGAUGAGCCUAGGUGGGAUUAGCUAGUUGGUGGGGUAAAGGCCUACCAAGGCGACGAUCCGUAGCUGGUCUGAGAGGAUGAUCAGUCGCACUGGAACUGAGACAGGGUCCAGACUCCUACGGGAGGCAGCAGUGGGGAAUAUGGGACAAUGGGCGAAAGCCUGAUCCAGCCAGGCCGCGUGUGUGAAGAAGGUCUUCGGAUUGAAAAGCACUUUAAGUUGGGAGGCGGUACCUACAGAAUAAGCACCGGCUAACUACGUGCCAGCAGCCGCGGUAAUUC
rnacentral:rRNA from 1 species